rnacentral:rRNA from 1 species
GACGAACCGUACGAACGUUAUUCGGAAUUACUGGGCGUAAAGCGCGCGUAGGCGGUGAUCUUUGUCAGAGGUGAAAGCCCGGGGCUCAACUCCGGAAUUGCCUUUGAAACGGGAUCGCUUGAGUCCGAGAGAGGAUGGCGGAAUUCCUAGUGUAGAGGUGAAAUUCGUAGAUAUUAGGAAGAACACCGGUGGCGAAGGCGGCCAUCUGGCUCGGUACUGACGCUCAGGCGCGAAAGCGUGGGGAGCAAACAGG